GAAACUUAUUUUCUUAAAUGCGAAUGGAGAGACAGAUUUGUACUCAGGGCGGGUGGGGGCAGUUCUAGACAUCGUAUUCUCAUUUUGAGUCUACACUCUACUAUGGUCAACUGAUGAUGCCGGUUUCUUGACUUAUAUCAUUUAGACAAAGUGGUGUUUUUGUGGAUGCAACUGGUGAAACACAACUGACCCCCACCCCCCAAUUACCUCAAAAAAGAACAAGGAUCUGUAGUAUGGAAAAUUAGUAGAUUUGCGGUCUUGUUUCAG
rnacentral:misc_RNA from 1 species